rnacentral:lncRNA from 1 species
UUCUAUAUCUUCUACUUAAUUUUUUUGCUCUCAAAGCUUAUUUUCGACCUCCUAUUUAUAAAUAAAAUUUUCAUAAUUUUUUGGUAGAAAAAGAAGUCCUAAAACCCUUAGAAAUCAUAUUAAUCUCCUUAGGAAUAUUCCUAGCCGUCGGAUGGAGCUUGAACCACCCAUAUCUGAUCAAAAAUCAUAAUUUUAAUCUUUAUCAAAG